rnacentral:rRNA from 1 species
AGUGAACGCUGGCGGUAGGCCUAACACAUGCAAGUCGAACGGCAGCACAGUAAGAGUUUGCUCUUACGGGUGGCGAGUGGCGGACGGGUGAGGAAUACAUCGGAAUCUACUUUUUCGUGGGGGAUAACGUAGGGAAACUUACGCUAAUACCGCAUACGACCUACGGGUGAAAGCAGGGGAUCUUCGGACCUUGCGCGAUUGAAUGAGCCGAUGUCGGAUUAGCUAGUUGGCGGGGUAAAGGCCCACCAAGGCGACGAUCCGUAGCUGGUCUGAGAGGAUGAUCAGCCACACUGGAACUGAGACACGGUCCAGACUCCUACGGGAGGCAGCAGUGGGGACUAUUGGACAAUGGGCGCAAGCCUGAUCCAGCCAUACCGCGUGGGUGAAGAAGGCCUUCGGGUUGUAAAGCCCUUUUGUUGGGAAAGAAAAGCAGCAGGUUAAUACCCCGCUGUUCUGACGGUACCCAAAGAAUAAGCACCGGCUAACUUCGUG